rfam:Brassica rapa chromosome A5, whole genome shotgun sequence.
GAAUAUUUUGUAGGAGUUAUCGGUUGGGGCUAUUUAUGGCAUGCCCAUUCCAAGUUGGGAGUUGAGGCAUGCAGCUUGAGCGAAGGCUUGGGUCACGUGUUUCUUAGAGUGGGGGAGACUGCGUGAGGCUGGUUUCACAGAGCAGCGUAAACCUCCCGCUCUUGACGGUGGAAGGAUAACGGGGGCUUUCGCCUUCUGAGCCCACUAUGACCCAUUAAACCGAUUCCGAUUGGAC